GACGAACGCUGGCGGCGUGCUUAACACAUGCAAGUCGAGCGAGUGGAUUCCCUUCGGGGAUGAGGCUAGCGGCGGACGGGUGAGUAACACGUGGGCACCCUGCCUUAUAGAGGGGGAUAGCCUUCCGAAAGGAAGAUUAAUACCGCAUAAUAUCAGAUUAUCGCAUGGUAGACUGAUCAAAGGAGCAAUCCGCUAUAAGAUGGGCCCGCGUCGCAUUAGCUAGUUGGUGAGGUAACGGCUCACCAAGGCGACGAUGCGUAGCCGACCUGAGAGGGUGAUCGGCCACAUUGGGACUGAGACACGGCCCAGACUCCUACGGGAGGCAGCAGUGGGGAAUAUUGCACAAUGGGGGAAACCCUGAUGCAGCAACGCCGCGUGAGUGAUGAAGGCCUUCGGGUUGUAAAGCUCUUUGAUCAGGGACGAUAAUGACGGUACCUGAAGAACAAGCCACGGCUAACUACGUGCCAGCAGCCGCAGUAAAAC
rnacentral:rRNA from 1 species